rnacentral:rRNA from 1 species
ACAGCAGUAGCCGCGGGAAUACGGAGGGUGCAAGCGUUAAUCGGAAUUACUGGGCGUAAAGCGCACGCAGGCGGUCUGACAAGUCAGAUGUGAAAUCCCCGGGCUUAACCUGGGAACUGCAUUUGAAACUGUCAGGCUGGAGUCUUGUAGAGGGGGGUGGAAUUCCAGGUGUAGCGGUGAAAUGCGUAGAGAUCUGGAGGAAUACCGGUGGCGAAGGCGGCCCCCUGGACAAAGACUGACGCUCAGGUGCGAAAGCGUGGGGAGCAAACAGGAUUAGAUACCCGUGUAGUCCCUGUCUCUUAUAC